rnacentral:lncRNA from 1 species
GUUGAGACUGGAUAAUGUCAUUUCAGCAAAGAAGAGAAAGUUUGGCCACCCGAAGAGAAAAAAAGAAGGCGUGCACAGCUCAAGCGCAUCAAUUAACUGAAGGCAUCCACAUUCAGCUACAAGAUAAUUCUGGCUGGUCCCUUAGGAGGUACUGAUUGUGGUUACUAGAUGAAGGGAAUUUUUAAAGCUAAUAGUAUUUCAUUUUUUUAUCUGCUCUCUUAAGUUUUUGAC